rnacentral:rRNA from 1 species
AUGAACGCUGGCGGCGUGCCUAAUACCUGCAAGUCGAGCGCACAGACGAGGAGCUUGCUCCUCUGACGUUAGCGGCGGACGGGUGAGUAACACGUGGAUAACCUACCUAUAAGACUGGGAUAACUUCGGGAAACCGGAGCUAAUACCGGAUAAUAUAUUGAACCGCAUGGUUCCAUAGUGAAAGACGGUUUUGCUGUCACUUAUAGAUGGAUCCGCGCCGCAUUAGCUAGUUGGUAAGGUAACGGCUUACCAAGGCGACGAUGCGUAGCCGACCUGAGAGGGUGAUCGGCCACACUGGAACUGAGACACGGUCCAGACUCCUACGGGAGGCAGCAGUAGGGAAUCUUCCGCAAUGGGCGAAAGCCUGACGGAGCAACGCCGCGUGAGUGAUGAAGGUCUUCGGAUCGUAAAACUCUGUUAUUAGGGAAGAACAAAUGUGUAAGUAACUAUGCACGUCUUGACGGUACCUAAUCAGAAAGCCACGGCUAACUACGUG